rnacentral:tRNA from 1 species
AAGUGAGAAGCAAUCAUUGCAAUCAGUUUCGACCUGAUCUUAGAUAAAAUUUUAUCCUUACUUU